UACGAAGGGGGCUAGCGUUGUUCGGAAUCACUGGGCGUAAAGCGCACGUAGGCGGAUCUUUAAGUCAGGGGUGAAAUCCCGAGGCUCAACCUCGGAACUGCCUUGAUACUGGGGAUCUCGAGUCCGGGAGAGGUGAGUGGAACUGCGAGUGUAGAGGUGAAAUUCGUAGAUAUUCGCAAGAACACCAGUGGCGAAGGCGGCUCACUGGCCCGGAACUGACGCUGAGGUGCGGAAAGCGUGGGGAGCAAACAGGG
rnacentral:rRNA from 1 species